rnacentral:rRNA from 1 species
GACGAACGCUGGCGGCGUGCUUAACACAUGCAAGUCGAACGGAAAGGCCCCUUUUGGGGUCCUCGAGUGGCGAACGGGUGAGUAACACGUGAGUAACCUGCCCUUGACUUCGGGAUAACUUCAGGAAACUGGGGCUAAUACCGGAUAGGAAUCCUUGCUGCAUGGUGGGGGUUGGAAAGCUUCGGCGGUUUUGGAUGGACUCGCGGCGUAUCAGCUUGUUGGUGGGGUAGUGGCUUACCAAGGCUUUGACGGGUAGCCGGCCUGAGAGGGCGACCGGCCACAUUGGGACUGCGACUCGGCCCAGACUCCUACGGGAGGCAGCAGUGGGGAAUAUUGCACAAUGGGCGGAAGCCUGAUGCAGCAACGCCGCGUGCGGGAUGACGGCCUUCGGGUUGUAAACCGCUUUCAGCAGGGGCGAAGCUUGUGGUGACGGUACCUGCAGAAGAAGCACCGGCUAACUACGUG